ACGAACGCUGGCGGCGUGCUUAACACAUGCAAGUCGAACGAUGAAGCCAGCUUGCUGGUGGAUUAGUGGCGAACGGGUGAGUAACACGUGGGUGAUCUGCCCCAAACUUUGGGAUAAGCCUGGGAAACUGGGUCUAAUACCGAAUAUGACCGAUACUCGCAUGGGUGUUGGUGGAAAGCUCCGGCGGUUUGGGAUGGGCCCGCGGCCUAUCAGCUUGUUGGUGGGGUAAUGGCCUACCAAGGCGACGACGGGUAGCCGGCCUGAGAGGGCGACCGGCCACACUGGGACUGAGACACGGCCCAGACUCCUACGGGAGGCAGCAGUGGGGAAUAUUGCACAAUGGGCGCAAGCCUGAUGCAGCGACGCCGCGUGAGGGAUGACGGCCUUCGGGUUGUAAACCUCUUUCACCAGGGACGAAGCGAAAGUGACGGUACCUGGAGAAGAAGCACCGGCCAACUACGU
rnacentral:rRNA from 1 species